GGGAGCUCAACCUGGCUGAUCUGCCCCGCCUGGCGGCGCAGCGAGGCGCGGACAGACCGACCGGCAGGGGGCGGCAAAGGGCGGCUCGGGCCGCCGGGACGAUCUACUAGGGGCCCGCGGCGGGGCGACGAUUAGCAAUUCCCGGACGUCCGCUCGGCCGAAAGACCGACUUCCAUGAACGUUCCAGGACAGCACUCACUCUCCCCCUUUGUGAAGUCCUGACUUCUGAGUCCCAGCGUGCACACCGCCUCUUCCAGGAAGCCCUCCCUGGAGCCCCGGCUGCUGGCCUCCCCCGCUCUCUCCAGACCUCUGUGCAUUUCUCUUGGCCUGGAAGCAUCGUUAUCUGGUGAUGUUUCUCCAGGAGGCAGAGGCCCCCCUCCCCAGCCAGGGCCCCAGGCUAGUUGGUGUCCAUCAAGGAGAAGUAAAAGGCUGAAGCUGGUUCACCCUCAACUGACGGGGAGGCCUCUGCCAAGGCCAGCGGUGCCUUGUGAGGGCUGGGAAGCCAGAAGGUGUCUUCUGGCCUCUCCGAACCUCCACCUGUACCGUUCCAGAUGGAGACCAAUGACUAACUUUGACCCUUCAGAUCUUCGGGGAGGAAGGGAGAUGCUCCUUAGAAAACAUCCAAGGGAGGAUCCUUUGCACACAGUAUUCAGCCCAUGAAAAUGGCGUGUAACUUAGCAUGAAAAAUACAGAAAGCGGCGAGCAGAGUUUAGGUUAAACAGACUCUCCUUAGACUGUAGCACGUCCUGCUGCGGAGAACAUGGGAGCAAGGGCUUUGCCAAAACAAGAAAUUGAACCUUACUGAUUUGUCUUGCUAUGGCCUCUCUCCCCCUGAAAGUUCAGCUCUAAAGGCACCAAAGGGUGUGCAGUAAAAAGUUUACCCUGUUAUCAUUUUAAUGUAUUUGUAUUUUAUUCCUUUCUUUUUUGAUGAGAUCAACUACUGAUAUAACUAUUUUCAAUUUUUAAAAAAUUAUUUCAUCUGGAUUCAUUUUACGUUGAUUAGUUCUACUUUUUUCCUCUUCUAAAUCAUUUCACGUUUUUAUCUUUAUUAUUUCUCUCCUACUGUUUGUAUUGAAUUUCCGUUGAUGGUGCUGUUUUUUACCUCUAGCUUGAGUUAGAAACUUAGUUCAUUAAUUUCUAUUCAUCCUUAUUAAUAGAAGUAUUUAAAGCUAUGACUUUCCCUCUGAGUACUGUUUUAACUUACCACCUUAGGUUCUGAUAUCCAGUGUUUCAAUUAUGGUUGUUUCUGGAUAUUCUGAAAUUUCAAUUUGACUUCCUUUCUAACCUGAGAGCAAUUUAAGAGUUUUAAAAUUUACAGGUAGUAAUGUCUUUCUGUUUUGUAGUUUGGUUAUUGAUUUACAUUGUGAUUGGAGAGUGUUUUCUCUCCUAUAUUUACUAAAAAGUAAAUAUCUUGUUUACUAAUUAUAAAAAGAAUAUCUUGUUUUUUAAAAAAUGGUUUAACAUGUGACCGAUCUUUGUGACUGUUCAGUUGUCCAUCUGCAAAGAAUAAGUUUGUUUUCAGGGUAGAAAGUUUGAUAUAAAUUAAUUAAAUCUAUCUCAAUAAUUA